ensembl:lncRNA
CAGAGGAAAUGACCUCUGGCUCCCUUCCCAACCUCCCCUCCCCUCAUCAGACAGUGUUCUGGAGAGAGAAAUGGCCCCCCUGCCAGCAGGACCUGACUCAGCAGAUGCCAGCCCUGACCACAGACUUCAGAUACAGCAUCCCUGAAACCACAACCAACCAUUCCUCGGUUUCUCUUUCUAUCCAGUGACGUAUCUGUGCCCAGGAUCUGGGGCAUUUGAGGCCUUGGCAUAAGAUUCCCUUAAAUGGAUGCUACCUGGGAAGUCAGGCAGGGAGACCUGGGGCAUUAGUCACAGGUUCCUUUCAUUCUUUGCCUGCUCUGUGUGCAAUCUGAGUUCUACAGCCACAGUCGCCUAAUCCUUAGAGCAGUUGUGCAAGGCCUGCUUAUUCCCUUUGUGACUGAGUGUUUUGCCGACAACUGUAUCUGUGUACCGUGUGUGUGCUUGGUCCCUGUGGAGGUCCGAAGAGGGCAUCCGAUCUCUGGAACUGGAGUUACAGAUGGUUGUGAGCCACACCAUGUGAGUGCUGGGAACUGAAACCCAGUCCUCCAUAAGAAGAGCAAGUGCCCUUAACCACUGGGCUGUCUCUCCUGCCUCUCAGCCAGGUCUUAGCAUUCCAGUUCUCCAGGUAAAGAAGCCACCUUAGGUGUGGGACUAGGGUGGGAUCCCAGGGUUAACUAGGGCAGAAGCAGGUUCCUCUCAGCGCUCGAUGUGUUAAAACGUGCUGCUCCUUCUGAGGCACAAACAUUAUCUUUCCCUACCACGUGGCCUCCUCCUUUGCAAGAGCCAAUCACAUCCACGGGGAGUGAGGGACAGAGACACUCAGAACCUCAGAAAUGAGGUUUUAAUUUGGGCUUGAGCUUUCAUGGCCCCCUUUCCUCCACUGCCCCAGACAGGGCCAGAGCUGAGGCAUGAGGGCCUGAGGAAAUCUGUCACCACUAGUCUCUGGUGUCCUGUGGCAAUUCCCUUCGGCUGGGGUCAGGUCACAGAUCCUGCUGAGAUUACUGGGAGUGAGACUAUGGCAGGCUGACUCUGGGGGACAAGUUCAGCUCUCUGUGGCCUCUGUACAUCUGUGUCGGCGUGAGGAAGAG